CCUACGGGAGGCAGCAGUGGGGAAUAUUGGACAAUGGGCGCAAGCCUGAUCCAGCAAUGCCGCGUGAGUGAUGAAGGCCUUAGGGUCGUAAAGCUCUUUUACCAGGGAUGAUAAUGACAGUACCUGGAGAAUAAGCUCCGGCUAACUCCGUGCCAGCAGCCGCGGUAAUACGGAGGGAGCUAGCGUUGUUCGGAAUUACUGGGCGUAAAGCGUACGUAGGCGGUUAUUCAAGUCAGAGGUGAAAGCCCGGGGCUCAACCCCGGAACGGCCUUUGAAACUAGGUAGCUAGAAUCUUGGAGAGGUCAGUGGAAUUCCGAGUGUAGAGGUGAAAUUCGUAGAUAUUCGGAAGAACACCAGUGGCGAAGGCGACUGACUGGACAAGUAUUGACGCUGAGGUACGAAAGCGUGGGGAGCAAACAGGAUUAGAUACCCUAGGUAGUCCGACGCCGUAAACGAUGAUAACUAGCUGUUCGGGCACUUGGUGCUUGAGUGGCGCAGCUAACGCAUUAAGUUAUCCGCCUGGGGAGUACGGUCGCAAGAUUAAAACUUAAAGGAAUUGACGG
rnacentral:rRNA from 1 species